GACCCGCUACCCGCCCUUUGUCAUAUGUUGGACGAGGUCGUCUUUAGGGGCGGCCUCCGACCCCACUUCCCGGGAGGCGUUGCGCCCCAUCAAAGUCUAGGCCUUGAUGAGGAUGGGACCGCCCGGGGUCUUUUUUCAAACCCUUUGUGAGAAAUCUGAAGUCUGAAGCGAAAGCUUAAAAACAAAUUGAAGCAAAACUUUCAACAACGGAUCUCUUGGCUCUGGCAACGAUGAAGAACGCAGCGAAACGCGAAAGGUAAUGCGAAUUGCAGAAUCAGUGAGUCAUCGAAUCUUUGAACGCACAUUGCGCCCUCUGGUAUUCCGGAGGGCACGCCUGUUCGAGCGCCAUUACACCCUCCAAGCUCUGCUUGAUGUUGGACGCUGUGUUUUCUCUUUUUAGGGGAGAAGACACACGUCUGGAACUUGUAGGCGUCCGUCACUGUCGAGACACCGCGAGCGUAGCAAGACUUUUAGUCAUUUUCGCUCUGUUGGAACUCCAGCGGACUGCCCUUAUGAUUUUAGGGGGGUUAACCCUCUAAAUUCAAUCUCAAGAGUUUGGCCUCGGAUCAGGCGGGGAUACCCGC
rnacentral:rRNA from 1 species